CUGGAGGUAUCAGAAGUGCGAAUGCUGACAUAAGUAACGAUAAAGCGGGUGAAAAGCCCGCUCGCCGGAAGACCAAGGGUUCCUGUCCAACGUUAAUCGGGGCAGGGUGAGUCGACCCCUAAGGCGAGGCCGAAAGGCGUAGUCGAUGGGAAACAGGUUAAUAUUCCUGUACUUGGUGUUACUGCGAAGGGGGGACGGAGAAGGCUAUGUUGGCCGGGCGACGGUUGUCCCGGUUUAAGCGUGUAGGCUGGUUUUCCAGGCAAAUCCGGAAAAUCAAGGCUGAGGCGUGAUGACGAGGCACUACGGUGCUGAAGCAACAAAUGCCCUGCUUCCAGGAAAAGCCUCUAAGCAUCAGGUAACAUCAAAUCGUACCCCAAACCGACACAGGUGGUCAGGUAGAGAAUACCAAGGCGCUUGAGAGAACUCGGGUGAAGGAACUAGGCAAAAUGGUGCCGUAACUUCGGGAGAAGGCACGCUGAUAUGUAGGUGAAGUCCCUCGCGGAUGGAGCUGAAAUCAGUCGAAGAUACCAGCUGGCUGCAACUGUUUAUUAAAAACACAGCACUGUGCAAACACGAAAGUGGACGUAUACGGUGUGACGCCUGCCCGGUGCCGGAAGGUUAAUUGAUGGGGUUAGCCGCAAGGCGAAGCUCUUGAUCGAAGCCCCGGUAAACGGCGGCCGUAACUAUAACGGUCCUAAGGUAGCGAAAUUCCUUGUCGGGUAAGUUCCGACCUGCACGAAUGGCGUAAUGAUGGCCAGGCUGUCUCCACCCGAGACUCAGUGAAAUUGAACUCGCUGUGAAGAUGCAGUGUACCCGCGGCAAGACGGAAAGACCCCGUGAACCUUUACUAUAGCUUGACACUGAACAUUGAGCCUUGAUGUGUAGGAUAGGUGGGAGGCUUGGAAGUGUGGACGCCAGUCUGCAUGGAGCCGACCUUGAAAUACCACCCUUUAAUGUUUGAUGUUCUAACGUUGACCCGUAAUCCGGGUUGCGGACAGUGUCUGGUGGGUAGUUUGACUGGGGCGGUCUCCUCCUAAAGAGUAACGGAGGAGCACGAAGGUUGGCUAAUCCUGGUCGGACAUCAGGAGGUUAGUGCAAUGGCAUAAGCCAGCUUGACUGCGAGCGUGACGGCGCGAGCAGGUGCGAAAGCAGGUCAUAGUGAUCCGGUGGUUCUGAAUGGAAGGGCCAUCGCUCAACGGAUAAAAGGUACUCCGGGGAUAACAGGCUGAUACCGCCCAAGAGUUCAUAUCGACGGCGGUGUUUGGCACCUCGAUGUCGGCUCAUCACAUCCUGGGGCUGAAGUAGGUCCCAAGGGUAUGGCUGUUCGCCAUUUAAAGUGGUACGCGAGCUGGGUUUAGAACGUCGUGAGACAGUUCGGUCCCUAUCUGCCGUGGGCGCUGGAGAACUGAGGGGGGCUGCUCCUAGUACGAGAGGACCGGAGUGGACGCAUCACUGGUGUUCGGGUUGUCAUGCCAAUGGCACUGCCCGGUAGCUAAAUGCGGAAGAGAUAAGUGCUGAAAGCAUCUAAGCACGAAACUUGCCCCGAGAUGAGUUCUCCCUG
rnacentral:rRNA from 1 species